rnacentral:rRNA from 1 species
UACGUAGGGGCCUAGCGUUGUCCGGAUUUAUUGGGCGUAAAGAGCUCGUAGGCGGACUGUCACUUCCGCUGUGAAAAGCUAGGGCUUAACCCUGGCCUUGCAGUGGAUACGGGCAGACUAGAGGUAGGUAGGGGAGAAUGGAAUUCCCGGUGUAGUGGUGAAAUGCGUAGAGAUCCGGAGGAACACCAAAGGCGAAGGCAGUGUCCUGGGAAGUACCUGACGCUCAGGGACGAAAGCUAGGGGAGCGAACGGG